rnacentral:miRNA from 1 species
CAGGUAGGGUUGCCAUAUUUAGCAAAUAAAAUACAGGAUGGAACAUACAAAAAAUAAAAGUACAGGAUGGGACAUACUUAUGCUAAAAAAAAUUAUUUGUUGUUUAUCUGAAACCCAAAUUGAA